UGGGGAAUUUUGGACAAUGGGGGAAACCCUGAUCCAGCCAUCCCGCGUGUGCGACGAAGGCCUUCGGGUUGUAAAGCACUUUUGGCAGGAAAGAAACGUCAUGGGUUAAUACCCCGUGAAACUGACGGUACCUGCAGAAUAAGCACCGGCUAACUACGUGCCAGCAGCCGCGGUAAUACGUAGGGUGCAAGCGUUGAUCGGAAUUACUGGGCGUAAAGCGUGCGCAGGCGGUUCGGAAAGCAAGAUGUGAAAUCCCAGAGCUCAACUUUGGAACUGCAUAUGUAACUACCGGGCUGGAGUGUGGCAGAGGGAGGUGGAAUUCCGCGUGUAGCAAUGAAAUGCGUAGAUAUGCGGGGGAACACCGAUGGCGAAGGCAGCCUGCUGAGAUAACACUGAAGCUCAUGCACGAAAGCGUGGGGAGCAAACAGG
rnacentral:rRNA from 1 species